AACGAACGCUGGCGGCAUGCCUAACACAUGCAAGUCGAACGAGACCUUCGGGUCUAGUGGCGCACGGGUGCGUAACGCGUGGGAACCUGCCUUUAGGUUCGGAAUAACUCAGAGAAAUUUGAGCUAAUACCGGAUGAUGUCUUCGGACCAAAGAUUUAUCGCCUUUAGAUGGGCCCGCGUUGGAUUAGCUAGUUGGUGGGGUAAAGGCCUACCAAGGCGACGAUCCAUAGCUGGUCUGAGAGGAUGAUCAGCCACACUGGGACUGAGACACGGCCCAGACUCCUACGGGAAGCAGCAGUGGGGAAUAUUGGACAAUGGGCGAAAGCCUGAUCCAGCAAUGCCGCGUGAGUGAUGAAGGCCUUAGGGUUGUAAGGCUCUUUUACCCGAGAUGAUAAUGACAGUAUCGGGAGAAUAAGCGCCGGCUAACUCCGUG
rnacentral:rRNA from 1 species